GAUGAACGCUGACAGCAUGCUUAACACAUGCAAGUCAACUGUGGCGGACGGGUGAGUAACGCGUAAAGAACUUGCCUCACAGAUAGGGACAACAUGUGGAAACGAAUGCUCAUACCUGAAACUGUGAGAGAGCUUUGCGUCCCAUUAGCUAGUUGGAGAGGUAACGGCUCACCAAGGCGAUGAGGGGUAGCCGGCCUGAGAGGGUGAUCGGGCACAAGGGGACAGAGAAACGGGCCGUACGCAUACGUGAGGCAGCAGUGGGGAAUAUUGGACAAUGGACCAAAGUCUGAUCCAGGAAUUCUGGGUGCACGAUGAAGUUUUCGGAAUGUAAAGUGCGAUCAGUUGGGAAGCGGUACCAACAGAAGAAGUGACGGCUAAAUACGUGCCAGCAGCCGCGGUAAUAC
rnacentral:rRNA from 1 species